GUAAAUGUGUGUAUCUAACUGGAAAAACAAGAACAAAGUGAAGGAACAGGGAGGAAUAUUAUAAGUGAUUAAUACACUUUUUUAAAAAAUCCUCCACAUACAUCAGGCUUCGGAGUGCAUCAGGGCUGAAAGGAAGGACAACAUUAAUAAUAAAGGUACCUGGCAUAAGAUAAAAAUGAACAGUUUGGAA